rnacentral:rRNA from 1 species
UACGAAGGGGGCUAGCGUUGCUCGGAAUCACUGGGCGGAAAGCGCACGUAGGCGGGUCGUUAAGUCGGGGGUGAAAUCCUGGAGCUCAACUCCAGAACUGCCUUCGAUACUGGCGACCUUGAGUCCGGGAGAGGUGAGUGGAACUCCGAGUGUAGAGGUGAAAUUCGUAGAUAUUCGGAAGAACACCAGUGGCGAAGGCGGCUCACUGGCCCGGUUCUGACGCUGAGGUGCGAAAGCGUGGGGAGCAAACAGG